GACGAACGCUGGCGGCGUGCUUAACACAUGCAAGUCGAACGGUAAGGCCCUUCGGGGUACACGAGUGGCGAACGGGUGAGUAACACGUGGGUGAUCUGCCCUGCACUUCGGGAUAAGCCUGGGAAACUGGGUCUAAUACCGGAUAGGACCACUGCCUGCAUGGGUGGUGGUGGAAAGCUUUUGCGGUGUGGGAUGGGCCCGCGGCCUAUCAGGUUGUUGGUGGGGUGAUGGCCUACCAAGGCGACGACGGGUAGCCGGCCUGAGAGGGUGACCGGCCACACUGGGACUGAGAUACGGCCCAGACUCCUACGGGAGGCAGCAGUGGGGAAUAUUGCACAAUGGGCGCAAGCCUGAUGCAGCGACGCCGCGUGAGGGAUGACGGCCUUCGGGUUGUAAACCUCUUUCAGCACCGACGAAGCGCAAGUGACGGUAGGUGCGGAAGAAGGACCGGCCAACUACGUGCCAGCCGCCGCAGUAA
rnacentral:rRNA from 1 species